rnacentral:rRNA from 1 species
UACGUGGGGUGCGAGCGUUAAUCGGAAUUACUGGGCGUAAAGCGUGCGCAGGCGGUUCGUUGUGUCGGUGGUGAAAGCCCCGGGCUUAACCUGGGAAUGGCCGUCGAAACUGGCGAACUGGAGUGUGGCAGAGGGGGGUGGAAUUCCGCGUGUAGCAGUGAAAUGCGUAGAGAUGCGGAGGAACACCGAUGGCGAAGGCAGCCCCCUGGGCUGACACUGACGCUCAGGCACGAAAGCGUGGGGAGCAAACAGG